rnacentral:rRNA from 1 species
UGGGGAAUUUUGGACAAUGGGCGAAAGCCUGAUCCAGCAAUGCCGCGUGUGUGAAGAAGGCCUUCGGGUUGUAAAGCACUUUUGUCCGGAAAGAAAUCCUUGGCUCUAAUACAGUCGGGGGAUGACGGUACCGGAAGAAUAAGCACCGGCUAACUACGUGCCAGCAGCCGCGGUAAUACGUAGGGUGCAAGCGUUAAUCGGAAUUACUGGGCGUAAAGCGUGCGCAGGCGGUUUGCUAAGACCGAUGUGAAAUCCCCGGGCUCAACCUGGGAACUGCAUUGGUGACUGGCAGGCUAGAGUAUGGCAGAGGGGGGUAGAAUUCCACGUGUAGCAGUGAAAUGCGUAGAGAUGUGGAGGAAUACCGAUGGCGAAGGCAGCCCCCUGGGCCAAUACUGACGCUCAUGCACGAAAGCGUGGGGAGCAAACAGGAUUAGAUACCCUGGUAGUCCACGCCCUAAACGAUGUCAACUAGUUGUUGGGGGAUUCAUUUCCUUAGUAACGUAGCUAACGCGUGAAGUUGACCGCCUGGGGAGUACGGUCGCAA